AACGAACGCUGGCGGCAUGCCUAACACAUGCAAGUCGAACGAGACCUUCGGAUCCAGUGGCGCACGGGUGCGUAACGCGUGGGAAUCUGCCCUUUGGUUCGGAAUAACUUCUGGAAACGGAAGCUAAUACCGGAUGAUGACGUAAGUCCAAAGAUUUAUCGCCAGAGGAUGAGCCCGCGUAGGAUUAGCUAGUUGGUGAGGUAAAGGCUCACCAAGGCUACGAUCCUUAGCUGGUCUGAGAGGAUGAUCAGCCACACUGGGACUGAGACACGGCCCAGACUCCUACGGGAGGCAGCAGUAGGGAAUAUUGGACAAUGGGCGCAAGCCUGAUCCAGCAAUGCCGCGUGAGCGAUGAAGGCCUUAGGGUUGUAAAGCUCUUUUACCCGGGAUGAUAAUGACAGUACCGGGAGAAUAAGCCCCGGCUAACUCCGUGCCAGCCGCCGCGGUAA
rnacentral:rRNA from 1 species